UACGUAGGAGGCGAGCGUUGUCCGGAAUCACUGGGUGUAAAGGGCUCGUAGGCGGCCAACUAAGUCAGACGUGAAAUCCCUCGGCUUAACCGGGGAACUGCGUCUGAUACUGGAUGGCUUGAGUUCGGGAGAGGGAUGCGGAAUUCCAGGUGUAGCGGUGAAAUGCGUAGAUAUCUGGAGGAACACCGGUGGCGAAGGCGGCAUCCUGGACCGACACUGACGCUGAGGAGCGAAAGCCAGGGGAGCAAACGGG
rnacentral:rRNA from 1 species